CCUACGGGUGGCAGCAGUGGGGAAUAUUGCACAAUGGGGGAAACCCUGAUGCAGCGACGCCGCGUGAGUGAAGAAGUAUCUCGGUAUGUAAAGCUCUAUCAGCAGGGAAGAAGAAAGACGGUACUUGACUAAGAAGCCCCGGUUAAUUACGUGCCAGCAGCCGCGGUAAUACGUAGGGGGCAAGCGUUAUCCGGAUUUACUGGGUGUAAAGGGAGCGUAGACGGCUGUGCAAGUCUGAAGUGAAAGCCCCGGGCUCAACCCUGGGACUGCUUUGGAAACUGUGGGGCUGGAGUGCUGGAGAGGUAAGUGGAAUUCCUGGUGUAGCGGUGAAAUGCGUAGAUAUUAGGAGGAACACCAGUGGCGAAGGCGGCUUGCUGGACAGUAACUGACGUUGAGGCUCGAAAGCGUGGGGAGCAAACAGGAUUAGAUACCCUUGUAGUC
rnacentral:rRNA from 1 species